UAGUCUCAGUGUUGUUAAGAGAGAGGAGCC
rnacentral:piRNA from 1 species